rnacentral:rRNA from 1 species
AGAGUUUGAUUCUGGCUCAGGAUGAACGCUGGCGGCGUGCUUAACACAUGCAAGUCGAACGAAGCACUUUUGCCGAUUUUCUUCGGAACUGAAGUAAUAGUGACUGAGUGGCGGACGGGUGAGUAACGCGUGGAUAACCUGCCUCACACAGGGGGAUAACAGUUAGAAAUGACUGCUAAUACCGCAUAAGCGCACAGUACCGCAUGGUACAGUGUGAAAAACUCCGGUGGUGUGAGAUGGAUCCGCGUCUGAUUAGCCAGUUGGCGGGGUAACGGCCCACCAAAGCGACGAUCAGUAGCCGGCCUGAGAGGGCGACCGGCCACAUUGGGACUGAGACACGGCCCAG